rnacentral:rRNA from 1 species
GCUUGUCUCAAAGAUUAAGCCAUGCAUAUCUAAGAAUAACUAACAUUAUCUUGAAUCUGUGAAUGGCUCAUUAUAUCAGUUAUAGUUUACAUGAUAGUCAAUACUACUUGGAUAACCGUAGUAAUUCUAGAGCUAAUACAUGCACAAAAUCCCGACUUCACGGAAGGGAUGUAUUUAUUAGAUAAAAAACCAAUCCGGCAACGGUGCUUGGUGAUUCAUAAUAACUGUUCGAAGCGCACGGCCUCGCGCCGGCGCUAGUUCAUUCAAAUUUCUGCCCUAUCAGCUUUCGACGGUAGUGUAGUGGACUACCGUGGCGCUAACGGGUGACGGAGAAUUAGGGUUCGGUUCCGGAGAGGGAGCCUGAGAAACGGCUACCACAUCCAAGGAAGGCAGCAGG